UAAUGAUAUAAAAAAGGAAUUACAGUGUAUUACUCUUGGAGAGCCAAAAUUGAGACUUCUAGAAGCGCAGGAUGAAUGAAUUCAGCACCACAGUGCACUAUGUUUCAGCACCCAACAGCUAAUCAUAUGAUGUCAUGAUUAGGGAUGCUGAUAAAACCAGGACAAGUUGGAAAUGUGUAGUCUACAGAAAUAGCCACUGCAGUGUUGACUUUGGCAAAGAUGAGAAGACCAGGUGUGUGCCACCUGCAGCAGUAUUUCUAGCUACUUGGGAGCAAACAGCAUUUAGUACUGGCCAAGGUUGUGCUGUUAGAUCUGUGGGUGAAAACUUG
rnacentral:lncRNA from 1 species